AGUCUAGUUAGCAUAAAAGUAAUGCAAUUGUUUUGUAAUCAAUAGACACAAGUGCGAUACUUGUACUGGACUUAUAAUAAUAAUUUUUUUUUAAUUAAUUUUAAAAAUAAUUAUUUUAAUGAGUAAUUUAAUAUAAAAAUAAUUAAAUAUUAUAAAUAAUAUAAUUUUAUUAUAAACUU